CAGUAGCCGCGGUAAUACGUAUGUCACAAGCGUUAUCCGGAUUUAUUGGGCGUAAAGCGCGUCUAGGUGGUUAUGUAAGUCUGAUGUGAAAAUGCAGGGCUCAACUCUGUAUUGCGUUGGAAACUGUGUAACUAGAGUACUGGAGAGGUAAGCGGAACUACAAGUGUAGAGGUGAAAUUCGUAGAUAUUUGUAGGAAUGCCGAUGGGGAAGCCAGCUUACUGGACAGAUACUGACGCUGAAGCGCGAAAGCGUGGGUAGCAAACAGGAUUAGAUACCCCCGUAGUCCCUGUCUCUUAUACA
rnacentral:rRNA from 1 species